AUUGAACGCUGGAGGUAUGCUUAACACAUGCAAGUCGAACGCGAACGUUUCUUCGGAAACAAGUAGAGUGGCGGACGGGUGAGUAACGCGUAGGAAUAUACCUAGUAGUGGGGGAUAACAUGGAGAAAUUCAUGCUAAUACCGCAUAUGUCUUACGAGAUAAAGAGGGCCUCUUCUUGAAAGCUCUUGCUAUUAGAUUAGCCUGCGUCGGAUUAGCUUGUUGGUGAGGUAAUGGCUCACCAAGGCGACGAUCCGUAGCUGGUCUGAGAGGAUGAUCAGCCACACUGGGACUGAGACACGGCCCAGACUCCUACGGGAGGCAGCAGUGGGGAAUAUUGGACAAUGGGCGCAAGCCUGAUCCAGCAAUACCUCGUGUGUGAAGAAGGCCCCUAGGGUUUGUAAAGCACUUUCAAUUGGGACGAAGAGUGUGUACUUAAUACGUGCAUACUUUGACGGUACCUUUAGAAG
rnacentral:rRNA from 1 species